rnacentral:rRNA from 1 species
UGGGGGAUAUUGGACAAUGGGGGGAACCCCUGAUCCAGCGACGCCGCGUGAGUGAAGAAGUAUUUCGGUAUGUAAAGCUCUAUCAGCAGGGAAGAAAGAAAUGACGGUACCUGAGUAAGAAGCCCCGGCUAACUACGUGCC